GACGAACGCUGGCGGCGUGCUUAACACAUGCAAGUCGAACGGUGAACGAGGGGGCUUGCUCCCUCCGGAUCAGUGGCGAACGGGUGAGUAACACGUGAGCAAUCUGCCCCGAACUCUGGGAUAAGCGUUGGAAACGACGUCUAAUACCGGAUACGACGCGGGAGGGCAUCCUCUCCGCGUGGAAAGAACUUCGGUUCGGGAUGAGCUCGCGGCCUAUCAGCUUGUUGGUGAGGUAACGGCUCACCAAGGCGACGACGGGUAGCCGGCCUGAGAGGGUGACCGGGCAAAAAGGGACUGAGAAAAGGGCCAGAAUCCUAAGGGAGGGAGGAGGGGGGAAAAAUGCAAAAAGGGGGGAAGGCUGAAGCAGGAAAGCCGGGGGAGGGAAGAAGGCCUUUGGGUUGGAAAACUCUUUUAGCAGGGAAGGAGGGAAAGGGAAGGUAACUGGAGAAAAAGCACCGGCUAACUACGUG
rnacentral:rRNA from 1 species